rnacentral:rRNA from 1 species
UACGCAGGCGGGAAGACAGGUCAGAUGUGAAAACCUACGGCUUAACCGUGGGCCUGCAUCUGAUACCAUCUUUCUUGAGUAUUGGAGAGGAAAGCGGAACUCCUGGUGUAGCGGUGAAAUGCGUAGAUAUCAGGAGGAACACCGGUGGCGAAGGCGGCUUUCUGGCCAAAUACUGACGCUCAUGUACGAAGGCCGGGGGAGCAAACAGGAUUAGAUACCCUGGUAGUCC